rnacentral:rRNA from 1 species
AUGACGGAUGGCACAGAUUCAACUGGUGGGAAUGUGUACACACAAAUGCGUGCUUCUGUUCAAAAAGGACCUUCGUUUCUACCGAAUUUGCUUCUGAAUGUGCCAUCAAACGACGGCCACCCCUCUCCCAUCUCCCCUGUUGCUUCCAGACGGCGGCGGCGCUUCAGAUCCGGUGCCAAGCGCCUCUUCCUUCCCCUUCCUAGCUACUCUUACUCAAGGCCACCUGAUUCCUCUUACUGGCCGACACCGGAAUCACGCUCCAGAUAUUCGAGCGGCAACUGGCCGCCGUCACGACGGUGA